GCACACAUUGAAGCUUCCUUUCCAGGGAAAGAAAAAGGCCACAUUUCUGGGGAAAAAAAAAAAACUUGAAAAAUAACCAAGCACUCGCUGCACAUAAAACAGCUGCUGCGUGCAGACCACUUGGUGCAGCCACGACGCGGGGGAGAGUGAAGACGGGCAAUUCCGGGGCGGUCGUGUCAUCUUUCUGGGUGAGUACACACGUGACACCGAGAGAAGAGAAAGUGGUUUCCCAGGUUGGCGGCACCAGCACGUUGCCAGGCAAUGAGCCAAGACCGAGGGCUCAGACAAAAGACAGAGCGGCCGACUGGGCUCAGCGGACACACAGCGCAGAGCCAGCUGCUGGCUGGGAGGACGCCCUGCAGCCUCGCAGGGAACGUGGGCUCCGGCUUCCAGAGGGCAGCGCCAUUCGCUCACAGACGGCCAGGAGACCCUCCCUGUGCAGGCAAUGCCGGGUGAGGCAUCGCUCCUGAAGAAUUAAUCAGAAACUCAGAAAAAUUCCGCCGAGCAGAAGCCAGAUGAGAAUCCGACUGGAAAUCUAGAAGGAAUCUGACCAGCAUCGCAAAGAAGGGGAGGAGCUGAGUGGGAAGGCAGCCUCAGGGAGCUUCCCCGGAAAGAUGGGCCUGCUCAUUCCAUCCCCGACAGGACUGUCAGUCAUUUCACAACCACGGCUGCUGAUGAAGACAAUCAAACAGCAGCAACCUUCUGAGGUCAAGACAGUGCUGGGCGUCUCUCGGAGUCACUCCCCUAUCUUUUCGUCUGUUCUCUCAGGACAGCUUGGUGACGUUGCUAAGGAAGGAAUUUGUGAAAAUGAGGAAGCGGCCCCAGAAUCCUUGUUGUUUUUCCCCAAACCUGGCUACUGGUGGUCAGAGUGACCUUGAGGUGCCUCACAGGGUUGUUCCAGGUGGCCCAGGUCUGCACCCUCUGACCCAUGGCCGACCAUCUCCAUGGCCUGUAAAGGUGCUUCUCUUAGGUGCCACCCAAGUGCCACGGCAGUGUCAGAGGGAGGCCCAUAGCCAGCCUCCUGAGUCAGAGCCUUUGGGCUGGGACCGGGGCAAGCACAUUUUUAGAAAGUUCCUCCAGGACACGUUUGGUGGAGCUCAUCCAUAAUGCUCUCUGGACAACCUUUGGACUAAGUAACUUUCCUAAAGUCUCUCAACUCAGUGGCCACCACCUUAGAACUGGGAACUGUCCCUCAAUGCCCACUCAGAUCCAACCAACUUAUACGAGCUUCUUGGAUGCGAAUGAAAACCUCGUGAAUUGCCCAGCAAGUUGACAUUCCUUUCUAGAUCCAGCACAUACAACUCUCUCCAGGUGAGCACAAAGAAAGAAGAGAUUUGAAGUCAGCGAGGUGCGUUUUAUUGGUUCAAAAGGGGAGGUUAUUUUUUAAAGGCUUAUGGAAAAAGGUAGCUAUGUUUGUUCUCUCAAAUAAUCACAUAAAGACCCUGCUAACAUUUCUGGUACAACAACCCUGCCGUGGUUAAUUUCCAGACAAUGAAAGGUGAGAAGGCUGGAAAGGAAACCGAAUCCUGCAGUGUCUAAUCAAUUUUAAUAGAAUCCGCUAAUUGAAUCAUCCACAUCCUUUAAAAAGAGACAUGGAAAUCAUGGAAGCAAGCCUCUGUUUUGGUGCAUUCUUCAUCCCUCAUGGCAUGUCAAAAAAAUUGAAUUUCUCACAGUGGAGAAAGAGUCUGUCAAAGUUAACUUUACCUGGAACUAAUAAAUUAUUAUAUUUCAUCCAAAGGGUUUCCAAUAAGUAGUUAUUCAAAGACUCAAUUUUUCAAUUAAUGUCUCCAAAUGCUUUUCUGAUCAUAAUUUUCCUAGUACAUUUUCAUGUUUGCUUCUCACUAUUGUCUUUGUGAGGAGUGUUGGAAAUUCCCAAGCUGGGGCAACCCCCAGGCUUCUCCCUCCAACCCCUCUCUCACUUGGACUCAGGCUUCCCCAGGGAGCAGACUCAGGGCGCACUGAGGGCAGGAGGAGAUGCUGGCAGCCCCUCAGGGUGGAGGCCACCCUGGAACCUUGACCUAGGGAGUCAGUAGUCUGUGGUGUCAGAAGGUGGCAUUAGAUCAGAGGGCUCAGGAAUCCAUAGUCAAG
rnacentral:lncRNA from 1 species